AAUAGAUACCCCGGUAGUCCACGCCCUAAACGAUGUCGACUAGUUGUUCGGUGCAGCAAUGCGCUGAGUAACGCAGCUAACGCGUGAAGUCGACCGCCUGGGGAGUACGGCCGCAAGGUUAAAACUCAAAGGAAUUGACGGGGACCCGCACAAGCGGUGGAUGAUGUGGAUUAAUUCGAUGCAACGCGAAAAACCUUACCUACCCUUGACAUGCCUGGAACCCUGGUGAGAGCCGGGGGUGCCUUCGGGAACCAGGACACAGGUGCUGCAUGGCUGUCGUCAGCUCGUGUCGUGAGAUGUUGGGUUAAGUCCCGCAACGAGCGCAACCCUUGCCGCUAAUUGCCAUCAUUGAGUUGGGCACUUUAGCGAGACUGCCGGUGACAAACCGGAGGAAGGUGGGGAUGACGUCAAGUCCUCAUGGCCCUUAUGGGUAGGGCUUCACACGUCAUACAAUGGUCGGUACAGAGGGUUGCCAAGCCGCGAGGUGGAGCUAAUCCCUUAAAGCCGAUCGUAGUCCGGAUUGCAGU
rnacentral:rRNA from 1 species